GGGGGGGGGGGGGGGCGAAAGAAAGACUGUGCCGCUGGUCAAUGUGUAGGCUACCCGGUCACGUGGCUUACUUACAAUUGACCAACCAGAGACAGGUCUACAUGAUAGGCUACAGCCUAUUGCAUCAUUAAGAAAAAUAGCGCCAGAACCAAACACCAUGACCAUCCCAUUCCAGUCAUAGUACUCAUAGAUCUACUUCAAGAUUGUGUUGAUUUGUGAUUAACUCGACUCUAUUCUAACAACUUUGGAAUGUGUGCGUCAAGCAAAGACUCUCGGAACCAAAGAGUGAAAGAAUGAUGGCAUCACUAUGAUCACUUCUUGCUGGAUCUGUCCAAGAGUCAAUGAGUACAGGUGGACCAUGUUGGAAAAUAACUUUCAGUCAAGACUCAAGUUGAGACAAGAGCUCCAUUGAUGUUAAUUGUUAUUGAUCAAACUGAACAUGUUCUAGAGAUACUGGAGAAAAGAUUUGAGUGCAGUACAGACUCAUUUUCAAUUGAAAGCAAUUAAAAGAAGCAGAGAUAAAUACAAUCAGGAUUAGGUAUGAAGCAAAUUUCCCAAUGGCAAAUAAUGUAUCACUGUUGGAAAUAGAAGUGAAACUGAAGGAUGAAGAUUCUCAUGAAAAUUUGAUCUAUCCAGUGAAAACAGCAUUAAGAGAACAAUAGUAUGGAUUAUAACUUGGCUGGACUGGACAUGGCACAAACAGAAAAUAAAUGUAUUGAAUUUUCAAUCCAAAUUAUGGAUAUUAGAUUAUUCAAGUGAGUUACCCAAGUCUGUCAAAUAACUUAGAGAAAGUACUUGAACUUGGCACAUGUGAUGGCACAGAAAUCGUAAAAAAAGAAGGAUGAUGGCUUCAACUCUGAAGGAACAUCCCAAUCAUGUAUAACAUUUUACAAACAAACCUAAUCAAAGUUUAUAAAUGUUUAAAAAAAGUAAGAUGCACAAGCAAAUUUAUUUACAUACUACAGAUAUUAGAACUAAUG